rnacentral:tRNA from 1 species
GGGGAUUUAGCUCAGUGGUAGAGUUCUUGCCUAGCAAGCACAAGGCCCUGGGUUCAGUCCCCAGCUCCG